rnacentral:rRNA from 1 species
UAAUACCCGAGCCACAAGUGGUGACCAUUUUUAUUGGGUUUAAAGCAUCCGUAGCCUGCCUAAUAAGUUUCUGGUUAAAUCUCUUGUUAACCAAAAGACUGCCAGAAAUACUACUAGGCUAGAGAUUAGAAGAAGCUGGAGGUACUCUUGGGGUAGGGGUGAAAGGCGAACAAUUGCAAAGUUUCAUUUCACAUUCCACUGAUCCCAAGGGGACCACCGAUGGCGAAGGCAUCUAGCUAGAAUAACUCUGACGGUGAGGGAUGAAAGCUAGGGGAGCGAUCGGGAUUAGAUACCCCGGUAGUCCUAGCUGUAAACGAUGCCCGCUUGGUGUUGGCUGGUUUGUAGUAACCAGCCAGUAUCGAAGAGAAAUCAUUAAGCGGGCCACCUGGGGAGUACGGUCGCAAGGCUG